rnacentral:lncRNA from 1 species
CUUUGCCAUGGCACCAAGCACAGAACCUUUCACAAAAUAGGUUGCUGAGCAAGGAAAGAAAUCCGUCUCCCUCCAUCGGUGGAUGAUGGGUUGAUAGAAGAUGAACUGGACUGUACUGUCAGCGGAGCCCGAGUUACGAAUCUGCAGGAGUCAACAGGAAAGUAGAAGUAAUGUGACAGUGCGGUGCUUUCUGGUCCCUUGCAGCUUCGAACAAGAGUAUAUGGUAGUGCUGAUGGUUUUAGGCUGUGUGAGGGACUGCACUGCGGGAGAAGUGGCAAUGGCAGUAUCAU